AUGUUUUUUUGCAAGAAAAGUAGUGUUUUUGUGGUCAGUCUUGGGGGGGAAGACAGGGCCACAGGAGCCACCACUUACCCUGUCUCCACAGCCCAGCCACACCCGGGGCCGCUGUACGAGCAUCCGCAGAAGCUCCGGGGGAUGACGGGGAGCAAUCAGGAGGGGAUGCCAUGGAAGUCUGCUCUGAACACGCGGCCUCCCUCCCAGAGCCUGUGGGCGAGCGGCGGACCUCCAGCCACAGAAUACCUUCUACCAUCUGUUUCGGUCAAGGUGCAUCACGAGGAUUUAAAAGCACCAAGAAAAAAAAGGGACACCAGUGACAACGUGGACGGAGAGCCACAGAACCCUGAGCUGACUCUGAGCGAGCGGUGGCCUUUCGCAGGAUGGGGCGUCAGUGUUGCACUUUCUCUCGCCUUCUGGCGCGGCCGCCCUCAGACUCAGGCCUUUGCCACCCUCCACCUCAGCCCAGCUCCGUGUCGCUGAACAACUGCAUGACAGCAGAAGCAGUGACAGACCCACGGAUUCCCGACACAUGCUCUGGUGAAUGAAAUGGCCCGCCAUGCCACCUCCCUGUGCAGGGCCGUCCUGAGGACGUGCCGUAUAAAUAUGUAGAUAUUUGCCAUAACGGUCUCCAGCCGUGACUUCUCUGUGGUCGAGCUGUGUGGGGAAAUGGGCAGCAGCUCUCCGUGGGGAAUCUGUUUGCAGGGCUCGGUUUUCGGAAAGAUUUACAAAGCCACAGAGCCUCUGGGGGGUGAGGAUGUAGCACCUGCGUCGCUGACGCUCCUGGCUCAGCACGAGGUCCCAGGGCCGCCUUCCCCAGCGGCCGUCAGCUCAGAGCUGAUGGUGGGGUGAGAAGCCGAGGGGCUCCUGCGCCGCAGGUGGGGUGUUGGGCGCUGGGAGAACCCUGCGGCCAGGGCCGGCCUCCCCGUGAAUUGAGAAUCCAGAAAUUAACCCACAUACUUGUGCUCAACUGGUGGGGAAAGAGUAGUCUUUUCAACAAAUGGAACCGAGAUAACUGACAUCCACACGCAAAAGAGGUAUACGCCUCAGAGAUGGAAGUACACGUCCCCCCAAAAACUUGUGCACCAGUGCCUGCAGCAGCAUCAUUCACAAUGGCCAAAAGAUGGAAACAACUCACACGUCCCUCAAGUGAGGAACGCGUAAGCAAAACAUGGUGUAUUCAUAAAAUGAAACACCGGCCACAAAAGGGAAUGAACCGCUAACACUUACUACAACAUGGACGAACCUUGAAAGCAUCAUGCUGAGUGAACAAAGGACACACGCGUGCGCACACACACACACACACACACACACACACACACGGCCUGUAUUCUAUGAUUCCAUUUCUACUCCAUUUCUAGAAACGCCCAGUGUGCGGACAUGUACAGAGAAAGGAGGUUACUGGUUCUUAGGGCUGGGGAUUAUGCGGGAAUGGGGGAAUAGCUAGAAAAUACAGGGUUUUUUUCUGAGAUGAUGGAAAUGCUCUGAAGUUGCCCGUGGUGAAGGCUGCACACAUCUGUGAAUCUGCUGAAAAGCGUUGAAUCCUACACUUUAGAUGGGUGAACCGUAUGGUGUGUGAGUUUGUCUCCAUAAAGCUGUUUGAAAGAACAAACACGUACCCGGCUGGCUCAGGCAGAAGAGCCUACGACUCUUGAUCCCUGGUUGUGAGUUCAAGUCCCACAUUGGGUAUAGAGAUUUAAGGAUAAAAAUUAAAAGUCUUACAAGUAAGUAAAACAAAGAAAUCGCGAGGCAAUCCGGGAAACCUGGACGCUGCUGGACGCUCGACAGGCACCAGCGCUAUUCUGUGGUGGUCAUGCUGCGGCUGUUUUCCUAAGUAGUCUUUAGAAGGUGCUUCCCGAAAUAUUCGUGAAGGAAAUGACAUGAUGUCUGGGGUCUGCUUCAGAAUGAUCUGGGAGGGAGGACUGUUUGGGGCUGAGAUGAAACCAGGCUGACCCUGGGUAGAUGGCUGCUGAAACCAGGAGCCUGGGGCACGAUGACCCUAACCGUGCACACGCACUCGCCCCCUUCGACAAGUAAAGUAAAAAGGAGGAAAAGGAAGCCAAGGCAGGUGUGGACAGGACCAGCCUCAAGGACCAGAGCUCCGGGUCAUCGUGUCCCGAGGGCAGCCCCUCACACUCCCGCAAGCCCAGCAACUGGUGAGAAGCUCACACCCACCCAAACCUUGUCCCCGGCUGCUCGGAAGGAGCAUGAGGCAAACAGCUUGCUUUCUGGACUCUGAAAGACAGAACCGAGAUCAGGUCCUUGGGCGGGCAUAGUGAGUGCUUACAGGGAAAGUGCACUGAGCCCCCUGGCGAGUGGGAGGGAGCAGCACCGACCCUGGAGAGAUGAUGAGGCAGCCUCUCCAUGAAGUGGUCCAGUUAGACCACAGCAGGUGGGCGGGCAGGUGGGCAGUGGGCAGGCAGAUGGGGGGGGGGUGCCCCAGAGGCUUCCUGCGGCACUGCAAAGCAGGCCAGGCUUCCAGAGGACAGGACAUCACCCUGCCGCCUCUCCCCAAGCAGAUCACCUUACAUGUUUCUCCUGAUUUGCUGUGGACUUCAUGUUACGGUAUUUUGUUGUACGUAAGUUCUUUACAGUUAUGUGGUCAGUCUAUCAUUUAUUAUCUUUAUGAUUUUUUUUUUAAUUUAAUGUGUCAAAAGCUCCCCCCUCCACGGGUUUAUUCUAGGAGUUCACACUUGUCUCAACACUGGAGGAUCUGUUACUGUAAUACACCAUGUUAACAGCCUGAAGGGAAAAUCAUAUCAUUUCAAUAUGUGCAGAAAAAGCAUCUGACAAAAGACAACACUCAUGGAGGAAAAAACUUCGUAUUAACUAGUUGCGGAAUGGAACCACAGUCACCCGGAAGAGGUAUUUCGAGACUCCCACCACACCUAGCAUGCUUGUGGUGGGGUUAAAAAUACUUCCUUUAGGGGCGCCUGGGUGGCUCAGUCGGUUGAGCCUCCGACUUUGGCUCAGGUCAUGAUCUCGCGGUCCGUGAGUUCGAGCCCCGCGUCGGGCUCUAUGCUGACAGCUCGGAGCCUGGAGCCUGUUUCGGAUUCUGUGUCUCCC
ensembl:lncRNA